AUGAUGCAAGAGAUAGAGGUUGACCAAGAGUUUCCAGUAGGAUGGAGCGCCUGGGUAAAUAAUUUCCACUUAGGUAAGUUAGCUAAAGGGCUGCAUUCUUUGCAUGCUUCCCAGCUUCUUUGGUUAUCCAUUUGCAAAGGCUCUUGUUUUGAACUCCAUGAAGUCUCUCAUUCCUACAGUGUUCCUGCCUGGUAGCCAGGAGGCUGAUGGAAUCAUGCAGCUUCUUCUGGCAUGAGCUCCCAGGGUUCCACACUGCCACAAGCUGAGCACAGAGAUGUGAACUCAUUUGAAAUGUUUAUUACAUUUUAUGAUUUUAAUUCAUUUCCUGCUUCUGUGAGGUUACCAGGCUAUUUGCUGGAAUAGGAAAGUAUACGGUGGCCUUCCAAUAAUGAUGUAGUUUAAUAUUUUUGGUAAAAAAAUUCUCAAAGUUUUUCAGUUACAAACUAGUCAAAAAAAUUCACACUGGGGCAGAGAACUCUCAGCUCUGGCUGACAAUACUUGAGCAGCAAAAUGCAGUGUUUCAAAGGACUUGGGAGUAAAGGACCCCUUUAGUAAAGUUCUUUUUAGGAAAACUAAAAAUCAAAACAAAACAAAAAGUCACCAGUCUUUGCAAGGUUUCUUGUUAUGAACCAAAUUGAUCAUAAUAUAUUGUCCUUUGUAUAUAGUAUUGGAUUUACUAUAAUUUUGUUCAGGAUUUUUGCCUAUGUUCAUUAGGAAUACCAGCGGGCAAUUUGUCUUAUAAUGUCCUUGUCAUUUUUAUUAUCAAGGUCAUGCAAACCUCAAAAAUGAACUGGGCAGUCUUAUAUCUUAUUCCAUUUUCUGGAAGAGUUUAUAUAACACUUGUGCUAUUCUUUCCUCAAACAUUAGAAAAAUUCACCAGUGAAGCUAUUCAUACCAGCAACUUCUUCGUAAAAAAAAAAAAAAAAAAAAAGGGUUAAUUUCACAAUGUCUUUAAUAGUGUAGGGAUAUUCAUAUUUAUUGUUUCUCUCCAUUUCAUUAUAUUUGUCAAGUGAUUUGUCCAUUUCUUCUAUAUUGUAGCAUUUAUUGGCAUAAAGUUCUAGAUAAUUAUAAUAGAUUGAAUUGAAGCUCCCAUUUGUGGCUCCAUUUCUCUCUAAUGUACACUCAUGGUCCCCUAGCUGGGCACAGCCUGUGCAGCUGAAACCCAACAGUCCCACAGACAUAGGAGAGACAAUAAAUGAUUAUAGUUAAAAGCCA
rnacentral:lncRNA from 12 species